GAACACACUGAACCCAGUCCUUCUCCUUCUUACUCAGUUCUGAAGUGUGGGAAGAAGGGAAUGGAUACCGGUUGGAUAUGAGCACACCGAGUGAGGGACUGUCUGUGGCCUACAUGAAGAUCUUCUGCAGAAUGCCUUUGACAGAAAUGCCGUGCAGUCAGAAUUAGAUGCAAGCCGUCAGUGCCAUUUGCAUGCAUAUGGACCAGGCCCAGGCAUCUGCGGGCAGAGGCCUUUACAGCAUUGUAUAUUGAUUACAAGCAUGGAAUCUGCAAUGAGACUGUAAUGAAGUCAGCUUUUCUGCAAAUAGCAACAUGAGGUUGUAAAGAAUUAAUGUAUAAGCAUUCUUGAACAUCAUCUCCCUCUCUAAGGAGAAGAACCACCAAAUUUUCCCAACACCACCAAGCCCUACAUGGUGCCUUUCCUCCCUCAAUCCUCUGCUUGGAGCCUAUCUUACUUUUUCCUUUUCAAAGUGUUUAGAAAAAGUUCGUGUUCAGGGUCAAACACACAGGUAAUUGUGGAGGGAGAAGAAACAUUGAUCUAAAGUGGUCGAGUGUUCCAGGCAUGGGAAAUAAACUGAGCUCUGCUCAGGUUACUGGCAGAGAUUCACAGGGAGAAACUCCUGCAUCUGUUUCCCAUUGUGUCUAAAGGGCUCACUCAGAGACUGGCCCACAAGCAGGAUGAAGGUGCUGAGGCUGCCUGCAGCCCGACCUCGGCCGCAGUACUGGGGAAAGCCCAUCCAGGACUUGACUUACCAUUACUAUCGCAUGACUAUUUUGGAGUAUGACUUCUGGAGUUUGAUUCAAAGAAUUUCUAACUACUGGAAAUAAAAAAACAGAACAGCUAAGUCCCUAUUAGUCUUCUUCAAGCUCCCCAAACACAAAGAUUUUUGACUUCUUUAUGGACAUAGAAGAUAAGAUUUUGGAGCUGGAGAUAAUCUUGAAGACAAGCCACCCUCUGCAAAUGAGUUGCUACCAAAACCUCUUGUCGUUUUAAAAUUGUAUUUGCUGUCUUUAGGUGGGUAGACUAAAGAAAAACACCUAUUAGCCUUUGCGGUAACACUCUGAAACUAGAAAGGAGGGAACAUGGAUCCAUUUGUAGCAGCAACACCCUGCUCUCCUUUCUACACUGAUGUCCCAGCAGACACAGCAGACACUGGGACCUUACUUGCACGGAUGCCCAGCAGACAUGGUCUGCUUGAUACGAAAUGCCUUUAAACAUUGUCACGGGAAGGUUCUCCAGCCUGGCUCAUGUAAGAAAACAUCUAUUGUUGCUAUUAAA